GUCGUAACAAGGUCUCCGUAGGUGAACCUGCGGAGGGAUCAUUACACAAAUAUGAAGGCGGGCUGGAACCUCUCGGGGUUACAGCCUUGCUGAAUUAUUCACCCUUGUCUUUUGCGUACUUCUUGUUUCCUUGGUGGGUUCGCCCACCACUAGGACAAACAUAAACCUUUUGUAAUUGCAAUCAGCGUCAGUUACAAAUUAAUAAUUACAACUUUCAACAACGGAUCUCUUGGUUCUGGCAUCGAUGAAGAACGCAGCGAAAUGCGAUAAGUAGUGUGAAUUGCAGAAUUCAGUGAAUCAUCGAAUCUUUGAACGCACAUUGCGCCCUUUGGUAUUCCAAAGGGCAUGCCUGUUCGAGCGUCAUUUGUACCCUCAAGCUUUGCUUGGUGUUGGGCGUCUUGUCUCUAGCUUUGCUGGAGACUCGCCUUAAAGUAAUUGGCAGCCGGCCUACUGGUUUCGGAGCGCAGCACAAGUCGCACUCUCUAUCAGCAAAGGUCUAGCAUCCAUUAAGCCUUUUUUUCAACUUUUGACCUCGGAUCAGGUAGGGAUACCCGCUGAACUUAAGCAUAUCA
rnacentral:rRNA from 1 species